rnacentral:rRNA from 1 species
UACGUAGGGUGCAAGCGUUGUCCGGAAUUAUUGGGCGUAAAGAGCUCGUAGGCGGUUUGUCGCGUCUGCUGUGAAAAUCCAGGGCUUAACCCUGGACCUGCAGUGGGUACGGGCAGACUAGAGUGCGGUAGGGGAGAUCGGAAUUCCUGGUGUAGCGGUGAAAUGCGCAGAUAUCAGGAGGAACACCGGUAGCGAAGGCGGAUCUCUGGGCCGUAACUGACGCUGAGGAGCGAAAGCAUGGGGAGCGAACAGG